CUCGCUCUUUCACCCAGGCUGCAGUGCAGUAGCACGAUCUCAGCUCACUGCAAGCUCCGCCUCCUCUGGAAGGAAAAUCUACUUGGAACUUUGGGCUCUAGGAAGCAUCAGUAAGUGAAAAACCACAGUUUUGCCUGGAUGCUGUAAGAGAAGUCCUGUGUUACUAUUGGGGAAGAUUGAUAUGAUAAUGGCGAGAAAGAUAGUGGUGAUGAUCUUCCUGAUUUGAAGACCUCUACAUGUAUUCUCUCAGAAUGGUCCUAAAGAGAGGUAAGAAAUGAGGUUUUAUGAGAACUGGUCAGGACUGAAACUUCAUGAAGAUGUGUGUCCUGCUCUCUCCACAGCCCCAUCAUCAAACAGACUGAAGUUCCUCUGUGUUCAACUGCAGAACAGCUGAGUUGUGUGCCCUUUGAACCUUAAAAUUAAGACCCUUUACAGUCAUUCUAAAAUGGUUGUCUGUACGCUUCUUUUGAGAGGAUCAAAUAAAUCAAUAUUAUAGCACUUUGAAA